AUUGAACGCUGGCGGCAGGCCUAACACAUGCAAGUCGAGCGAGCGGCGGACGGGUGUGUAAUGUCUGGGAAACUGCCUGAUGGUGGGGGAUAACACCUGGAAACGGUAGCUAAUACCGCAUAACAUCAGAUGUGCCCAGAUGGGAUUAGCUAGUAGGUGGGGUAACGGCUCACCUAGGCGACGAGCCCUAGCUGGUCUGAGAGGAUGACCAGCCACACUGGAACUGAGACACGGUCCAGACUCCUACGGGAGGCAGCAGUUGGGAAUAUUGCACAAUGGGCGCAAGCCUGAUGCAGCCAUGCCGCGUGUGUGAAGAAGGCCUUCGGGUUGUAAAGCACUGUCAGCGGGGAGGCGUUACCCGCAGAAGAAGCACCGGCUAAAUCCGUGCCAGCAGCCGCGGUAAUUC
rnacentral:rRNA from 1 species